UCGCCUGUGGUGUAAUUGGUUGCACAACAGCCUUUGGAGCUGUUAGUCUUGGUUCGAAUCCAAGCAGGCGAA
rnacentral:tRNA from 1 species